AGCUCCAAUAGCGUAUAUUAAAGUUGUUGCAGUUAAAAAGCUCGUAGUUGGAUUUCUGGUGAGAUAUCUUUAGCCUGACCGGAAGGUCUUGUUUGAUGAUUAUUUUGCCCUUCUUGUCAAGAACCUGUUGAUCUUCAUUGGUCGAUAGUGGACUGGCAUCUUUUACUGUGAAAAAUUAGAGUGUUCAAAGCAGGCAUCGCCGUUGAAUACAUUAGCAUGGAAUAAUAAGAUAGGACUUUGGUGGUCUAUUUUGUUGGUUUGCACGCCAAAGUAAUGAUUAAUAGGGAUAGUUGGGGGUAUUCGUAUUCUAUUGCUAGAGGUGAAAUUCUUAAAUUUAUGGAAGACGAACUACUGCGAAAGCAUUUACCAAGGAUGUUUUCA
rnacentral:rRNA from 1 species